GACGAACGCUGGCGGCGUGCCUAAUACAUGCAAGUCGAGCGGAACUGGGGGAGCUUGCUCCUUCCAGUUUAGCGGCGGACGGGUGAGUAACACGUGGGCAACCUGCCCUGCAGAUCGGGAUAACUCCGGGAAACCGGUGCUAAUACCGAAUAGUUUGGCGCCUCUCCUGAGGCGCUACGGAAAGACGGUUUCGGCUGUCACUGCAGGAUGGGCCCGCGGCGCAUUAGCUAGUUGGUGGGGUAACGGCCCACCAAGGGGACGAGGCGUAGCCGACCUGGGAGGGUGACCGGCCACACUGGGACUGAGACACGGCCCAGACUCCUACGGGAGGCAGCAGUAGGGAAUCUUCCGCAAUGGACGAAAGUCUGACGGAGCAACGCCGCGUGAGUGACGAAGGUUUUCGGAUCGUAAAACUCUGUUGUGAGGGAAGAACACGUACCAACUAACUAUUGGUACCUUGACGGUACCUCACCAGAAAGCCACGGCUAACUACGUGCCAGCAGCCGCCGUAA
rnacentral:rRNA from 1 species